rnacentral:lncRNA from 1 species
UGGCCAAAGCCUCCCUGCCUCCAGAGCAGCCCUGGCCCUGGGAAGAAGCUGGUCUCUGCAUUGAAUGACAGGGAAGGAUUCUGGAAGACAUAGGAGGAGACGCCAGCAUUUCGCCCUCCAGCACCUCCUGCGGGCUGUGGUCCGCUUCCGGCCUCACUCGAGCAGACCCCGCCCUCCCAGAGGCCGUUUGUCCAAGUCACGUGAUCGUCGAAUCUGUUGACCUGGCGCCACCGGAAAAAGAAAUUCCCGGGCCCUGGCUUCUUGGCCUGAUGCUGACCCUCGUCCUCAGAUCUCUGCAGAACUUUGACCAGUGGUGGUGGAGGAAUUCCGGCACUGCUAGCCUUGAAGCCUCCAGCCUGCUGGAUGCCUCCAUCCCCGGCUAUGCUGUGGCUCUCCUCAUUCUAGGCCUCCUGCUCGUCACAUUCACCCUUGUCCUGGUGCUAAAGUGGAGGGCCUCCCAUGGGGUGUUCAGCCUGGGUGUGUAGAAGCACACAGUGUGGUACAGAGGACCCUCUCCAGACAGGUAAGUGGAGGGCGGUUCUCCCUGACCCCACCCCAAUUGUUUGUUCUGGGUGGGGUCCACCGCGCCCCCUGCCAAGGCCUUCUGCAAACACUCCCCAGGGGCUGUUGUGGGCAGCACCUGGGUGGUGCAGUUGGUGUGCCAGAAAAGCUCCCCAGUACUGGGCAGUGGCCCAGGCAGUCAAGCAGACUCCCUCAAGCAGGCCCCACCUACCCCUCGCCUGUUCCCAGCUGCCUCCCACCAACCCUAGAAAUGAUGCUGGGAGCUGACAGAAACUGAACUUAGGAGCACAGGAGGCCAGGAGACCUGGGACAGAGAACAGGAGGUGACCCCUCAUGCUGCUGCUCCCUCUGCUGAAACCCAAACUGCAAACCUCUCCUCUCCCUGCCUUCACCUUGCCCCACGGCUUCCACAGACAGUGCCUCAACCCCGAGGAAUGAAUCCGAAGUUCCAACACCACUGACUUUCCCAGGAACUCAGAGCCAGAGAGGGCCAAGGACCAGCUCGAGGACACACAGCCAGGGCUUCUUCCCUCCGAAACCCCCAAGGACUGGACUUGCAGGGCUGGGACAGAGGUGGGGUGGGGGAAAGCAAUGCCUUGUCAACCCACGUGGGGAGCCCCACUCCCAUCCCCAAGGUGCAUAAAGUUGAGGAACACCCCUGCUCCCACGUCCAUGCUCAUUCAGGGCCCUGCUCCAAGUGCUUGGCACUCACACCAGCCUCCUGCCCUCCACAGGUAUUGGUCUCGUUUAC